AAUUCUCAGUGAAAACCAGUUGACCGAACUGCAUAAGGAUUCAUUUGAAGGCCUAUUAUCCCUCCAAUAUUUAGAUUUAUCCUGCAACAAAAUACAAUAUAUUGAAAGACGUACAUUUGAGUCACUACCUUUUUUGCAGUAUUUAAAUCUCGGUUGUAAUUUAAUCACAGAACUGAACUUUGGAACCUUUCAGGCCUGGCAUGGAAUGCAGUUUUUACAU